rnacentral:lncRNA from 12 species
AUGCUGCAGGUCAAUGGGAGCUUAGGGCUUGAAACUCAAUUUUCCCAGAACCCAUAUGGCUCCCACAACCAUGGAAUGAUCCCUAGAAGAUUCCAGCUCUGCUGUGAGCUACGUGGCUUCAGGCAAGUCAUCUCAACUCUCUGGGUUCAGGGUCCCCUCCAUAAAUUAUACCCACCUGGGACCACCUCCACAGCCAACUGGGACCACAGCCACAGCCCACCUGGGACCACUUCCACAGCCACCUGGGACCAUAGCCACAGCCCACCCUGCCCCACCCCACCCACCGCUGGUGCACUCAACAAUCCCCUGGACGGCUGGGCUUCCCUGAGGGGGCUGUCUCUUCCCCAUCCAUGUGCCCAGGAUGCCAAACACCCCUCUGGGGACAGCGCCACAUUCGCCUCCUCAGAUCAGCCUUGCCUAGGGAGUAGAAAGAGCCACCAGAGAGCUGGGGUCCUGGGACUGGCGGGACUGAUGGGAGUCCCCAGAGGGUCUGUGCCCCCAGCUCCUGGGCUCCAGGCCACACCACAGGCCCUGCCAACCCCAGGCAGGCUGAGGGGGAAGGUUCUGCCAGGGGCGAUCUUUGCUGCCACCCAGCGGCUGCCAAGGGCAGCACGGCUGCGGCCACCAGCCACCCAGGACCACCCAGCCCCAGGGUGGGAGACGGUAGGGGCCUCCCAGGGCCUCCCCUGGCCUGGACCAUGCACCCUAGAGGCCAUGUCAGAGGACACCUGGGGCCAAGGUUGGGGCAGGUCAGACCAGCUCUGGGCAGAACAGGACACCGCCCUUCCUCAGCUUUGGCUGCGCUGUGGGGGGGGGGGGGGGGCCCGCCCCUCCCCCUUCCUCUGGGAAGAGAAGGCAAGCCCCCUGCUGCCCAAGGCGUGCACUCUCCCGUUCCUGCAGUGUUUGCUGCCCCUGGAGCACCAGACUCCACAGCACUUGGCAUCACACACACUCACACGUGACAGGCAUAUCCAUACUGUGACACACACAGCCCCCGAUAGAGCAGCAGGUUCUUGGAGACAGGGGCCCCCAUGCCCCAGCCUGUGGGUGACUCCUGGCCCUUAG